UACGUAGGGGGGCAAGCGUUGUCCGGAAUCAUUGGGCGUAAAGAGCGUGUAGGCGGCCAGAUAAGUCCGCUGUGGAAAUCUCGAGGCUCAACUUCGAGCUGUCGGUGGAAACUGCUGGCUAGAGUCCGGAAGAGGAGAAUGGAAUUCCUGGUGUAGCGGUGAAAUGCGCAGAUAGUCAGGAAGAACACCCCGUGGCGAAGGCGGUUCUCU
rnacentral:rRNA from 1 species